GGGGACGUAGUUCAAUUGGUAGAACGCUUGCCUUGCACGCAUGAUGCUCCCGGUUCGAGUCCGGGCGUCUCCA
rfam:Klebsormidium nitens mitochondrial DNA, contig: KFL_3731.